AAAAAAAGAAGAAAUUAAUUUACAAAACAUACGAUUGAUUGGUCUUGAUGUGAGCAAAAGUAACUAAGUAGAAAUUCAUGUUUGGAGAGCAAAUAAAACAACAAAAUCACUGAAAUAAGUAAUAUCAAAAUCACUAGUGUAAGUAAUACCACCGACUGUUUACUGAAAAAAAAGUAAAAGAGAUUUCCCAAAAAUCACAAGUCAAAUUUUAUGAAGAAAUUGCGGCCCAUUAUAACAGUUUCUGGUUGCUCCAGUAGUCUCAAAACUCGGUUUCUAGAAACCACAGAAAUGUCCGCAGUUUCUGGCCACACUUU
rnacentral:lncRNA from 1 species